UUACGGCCAUAUCAUGUUGAAACAUCGUUCUCGUUCGAUCACUGAAGUUAAGCCACGUUACGCCUGAUCAGUACCUAGAUAGGUAACCACUUGGAAAUACCAGGUAC
rnacentral:rRNA from 1 species